CUGAUGCAAGCGUCCUGUCUAACCCUAUGCAGGGAGUCACAGGCUCACAGCAUCACGAAGGUCCUAAGGACUCGGCGACUCGCGAGGUUGCGCCGCCGGCUGUCUCCUCCGGAACUCCACUGCUCCAUCUCCGCCCCUCGCCGCCGUCUGUCCCCUCUUGACCUCGGCUGCUCCAUAUCUACCACUCGCAGUUGCAGACCAGGAUGGCUAUUGCUACUUGAAGUGAGAGGGUUUGUGCAAGCACGGGACCUGCUGCUGCCUCUACACCGGUUGGCACAGGUCAAUCAUCGGUCCCUCAAUCAACAACAUCAAGUCUCUAAUCGUUGCGAUAGCAAAAGGCAGGACCUUCACCAGGGAACCUUUUAGCAUGACAGAAUUCAUAAUUGGGCACAUUUUUUAACACAAGAUGAUUUCCAGGAAUGCCUCGAUAUACAAAGACAUAAGGAUCAGGUUCUUUUGCCACUGAAUUGGGUCUCAUAUGGUACUCAUAGCGAAUAUCUGCAUUAGAUCAGGUAGAAUAAUUGACCUCCACUAUUGUUAGGACAACAAUAAAAUUAAAUGAAUGUAUGUACUCACCUCUGUCGUUGAAAACCCAUGCCUCCUCAUCGUCAUAUAUGUCAGGGCCACCCUGAUCAGGAUUGAGGCAAUCUAAAUCAUUUUCUGGUCAUUAGAUAAAAUUAAUAACCAGUGUAUAUGUACCCUGCCUGUCAUUGUUAAAUAUAAUUUGAUAAAUUUAUAGACUUACCCUCAAUCCCAUGUAUUGGAUCCUCGGGGUCAAAAAUAGCCGAGUUAUAUGGCUCUUCAUCCCUUUUCAUGUUUGGAACACCACCUACAUAAAAUAUUUACAAAUAUCAUGAUGACAAAAGCUUUAGUUGUAUGGAGAACAAGUAUUUUGUGGUUCAAACCUUGUCUGAUUUUAAUAUUUGUAUUGAGAAAAUAUUUCCUAUCACCAUUGUUCUUUAUGGAAGCUAAAGGUUGUGGUUGCUGCUGAACUUGCAUUUGACGUUCGAAUUUUUUAGCAAGUGUCCCAUCGUGCUUAUGGUCUACAUUUUGCUCCCUCAUAACAAUAUUGUUACCAGCUGCUUGGGUUCUUUUUCUCUAUCGAUAUUAUCGUUGGUACUCACAAUUCCUUGUGCAUAGUUCCUCUUUCUUCAAAUCAAUUGUCCCUAAAGUUCCAAUGCCAACAUUCUGGUUAAGAUUCUGCUCCCUCAUAUUUUCACCGGCUGCUUUGUUUCUUUUCUUCUCUUGAUAUCGUUGUUGUUACUCACGAUUCAUUGCGCGUAGUUCCUCUUUGUUCUGAUCAAUGGCCAUCAAUACUACAUAUGCAGAACCUAAUUGAACCUAAUAAAAAAAUGAAUUUGAAUUUAAGAAAUGCUUAUUUUGACUGACCUUUAAUGAAUUCAUGGAUGAGGAUGGAUAUCAAAUGGUGGUCCACAAAGAUUGUCAGUAGAGGACUCCACAAAGAUCGGUAGAAGAGGACCAACCGAAUCUAUAAUAUUGUACAGGAUAGAAGAGGACCAACACAAUCUGUAAUAUAGGAAGCAGAUGUAGUUCGGUUGAAGAGGACACCAACUCAAUCUGUAAUAUUGCAUAGAAAGCAGAUAUACGUGCACGUGAGACUGAACCUGUGGGAUUGCUUGAAUUAUGAGUGAGGAUUGUACGUGUGCAUAUAUGGGAUUGCUUGAAAUAUAUGUGCGAGGAUUGUAUAA